GUCCUUGUAGCACAAUGGAUAGCGCGUUGGAUUUCUAAUCCAAAGGUCGUGGGCUCGAUUUCCACCUGGGGUG